AGUGGCGGACGGGUGAGUAACGCGUGAGAAUCUGCCUUGGGGUCGGGGACAACCACUGGAAACGGUGGCUAAUACCGGAUACGCCUUCGGGUAAAAGAUUUAUUGCCCUAAGAGGAGCUCGCGUCUGAUUAGCUAGUUGGUGAGGUAAGAGCUCACCAAGGCAGCGAUCAGUAGCUGGUCUGAGAGGACGAUCAGCCACACUGGGACUGAGACACGGCCCAGACUCCUACGGGAGGCAGCAGUGGGGAAUUUUCCGCAAUGGGCGAAAGCCUGACGGAGCAAGACCGCGUGAGGGAGGAAGGCUCUUGGGUUGUAAACCUCUUUUCUCAGGGAAGAAGCUCUGACGGUACCUGAGGAAUCAGCCUCGGCUAACUCCGUGCCAGCAGCGGUAAUACGGAGGAGGCAAGCGUUAUCCGGAAUUAUUGGGCGUAAAGCGUCCGCAGGUGGCGAUUCAAGUCUGCUGUCAAAGCACGGGGCUUAACUCCGUAAAGGCAGUGGAAACUGAAUAGCUAGAGUGCCGUAGGGGUAGAGGGAAUUCCCGGUGUAGCGGUGAAAUGCGUAGAGAUCGGGAAGAACAUCGGUGGCGAAAGCGCUCUACUGGACGGCAACUGACACUCAGGGACGAAAGCUAGGGGAGCGAAUGGGAUUAGAUACCCC
rnacentral:rRNA from 1 species